GACGAACGCUGGCGGCGUGCUUAACACACGCAAGUCGAACGGUGAAGCGCCUUCCUUUUUGGUGGGUGUGGAUGAGUGGCGAACGGGUGAGUAACACGUGAGUAACCUGCCCCCUUCUUCUGGAUAACCGCAUGAAAGUGUGGCUAAUACGGGAUAUUCUGGGUCUGUCGCAUGAUGGGUCUGGGAAAGAUAUUGUUUCGGUGGGGGAUGGGCUCGCGGCCUAUCAGCUUGUUGGUGGGGUGAUGGCCUACCAAGGCGGUGACGGGUAGCCGGCCUGAGAGGGUGGACGGUCACACUGGGACUGAGACACGGCCCAGACUCCUACGGGAGGCAGCAGUGGGGAAUAUUGCACAAUGGGCGCAAGCCUGAUGCAGCGACGCCGCGUGAGGGAUGGAGGCCUUCGGGUUGUGGACCUCUUUCGCCAGUGAAGCAGGCCUGCCUCGUUUGUGGGUGGGUUGACGGUAGCUGGAUAAGAAGCGCCGGCUAACUACGUG
rnacentral:rRNA from 1 species